GCCAUCAUGGUGUAAUGGUAGCACACUCGGUGCCUAUUCGAGAGUUCCAGGUUCGAGUCCCAGUGAGGGCA
rnacentral:tRNA from 1 species